rnacentral:lncRNA from 1 species
AAGCAUGGUAUGAAAUACAUUUUGGUCUCAGCAUGAAAAUCAUUACAGAGUGCACUUGGGAGCUGAGACAACUGUUCUGGAAAGGCUCUUCAAAUAUGACAUAUUUGCCAUUUUGCAGUUUCAAAUCUUUUUCAAAACUGAAAGUGCUGCACAUUUCCUCUUGACUUGUUAGUCUCUAAAGAAAUUCAUUACUGCUGUGAUAAGAACUUGGAAAUGUUAUGUAGUUCACAAAGCAUAACUUUAUUCUUCUAUGAAUUCAUCAAGGAGAAAAAGCAGUCUUCAAAUGUGAUUUGUGCACAUUCACCUCACUCAGCAUAUCAAGUAUUAACCAUCACAUGAAAAUUCGUUCUGAAGAAAAAUAUCAUGUGUGUCACCUCUGCCUUAAGGCUUUUCAUUCAGCUACUCUCGUGCCUAACCAUGUGAAUGCAGGUGUCCACUUGCAAAAUCUGCAUUUAUACAUGGUUGUGGAAAUUACAUACAGUUACUAUGAAGCUGUUUUUCAUGACGGUUAUGCUCUUACUCAGCACAAGACGACUUACAGAGAUGAAAAAACAUUCGUAUGUGAUCAGUGCAGCUACACAUGCAAGCAGGUAUUUAAAUUCACUGAAAAAAUAUUGCAUAUUUAA